UACGUAGGGGGCAAGCGUUGUCCGGAAUCAUUGGGCGUAAAGAGCGUGUAGGCGGCUCGGUAAGUCCGCUCUGAAAGCCCGGGGCUCAACCCCGGAAGGCGGGUGGAUACUGUCAGACUAGAGUGCGGAAGAGGCGAGUGGAAUUCCCGGUGUAGCGGUGAAAUGCGCAGAUAUCGGGAGGAACACCAAUUGCGAAGGCAGCUCGCUGGGACGUAACUGACGCUGAGACGCGAAAGCGUGGGGAGCAAACAGG
rnacentral:rRNA from 1 species